AACUUUCAAAAAUGGAUCUCUUGGCUCUCGCAUCGAUGAAGAACGCAGCGAAAUGCGAUAAGUAAUGUGAAUUGCGGAAUUCAGUGAAUCAUCGAAUCUUUGAACGCACCUUGCGCUCCUUGGUAUUCCAUGUAGCAUGCCUGUUUGAGUGUCACGUGAACACCUCACCUCCCCUUGGGGAUGCGUGGACUUGGACGUUUGCCGACGCGAGUCGGCUCGUCUCGAAAUGCAUUAGCCUGCAGAGUGCUUCGCUGGGCCUUUGGCGUGAUAGUCACAUUUCGCCGUAGCGUCUGCGAUGUCUUCGACUCUGGGCUCACAAUAUUUGGAACCCGUCCGUGGGGACCAUCUUUUUACGCUCUGGCCUCAAAUCAGGUAGGACUACCCGCUGAACUUAAGCAUAUCAAUAAGCGGAGGCU
rnacentral:misc_RNA from 1 species